rnacentral:rRNA from 1 species
GAUUUCUGGGAGGGUGCCAAUGUCCGCUUGUUUGCGUGUGCAGCGGCGCCCUUCCAUCCUUCUGUUAACGUUUCUUGGUAUUCAGUUACUGGUUUCGGGCUCAGAUAUUUUACCUUGAGAAAAUUAGAGUGUUUCAGGCAGGCUUGCGCCGGAAUACAUUAGCAUGGAAUAAUAGAAUAGGACUUUAGUCUCCUUUGUUGGUUUGAGGGACUGAAGUAAUGAUUAAUAGGGAUAGUUGGGGGCAUUAGUAUUUAAUUGUCAGAGGUGAAAUUCUCGGAUUCGCUGAAGACUAACUUAUGCGAAAGCAUU